UAAAAAAAAAUUUUUUUUUUAUGUUCUAUCGUUUAAUAUAGGAUGUAUUUUUGAUACAAUUGAAUAAAAAACCAAAUUUUUUUUGUAUGUUUGCCAAUUGAAUGAAAGGGAAUUGACAUGAAAUAUUUGUCGAAGUGUCACCUUGACGUUCAGUUCUAUUUAAAUUAAUUUCACAUUCCUUCCUUAAAAAGAAAACCAUUGCCACUGUAAUUACUACAAAUUCUAACGAAUCCCAACAUAAACACAAUCAUGAAUUUAAAAAAUGUUCCUUACGCUACCUAAGAUUCGGAUAACAUUAAAAACCAAAUUAUACUCCCGAAAGAUAGAUUUGAUUAUUUAAUCUGGCCUUAAAUUUAUGUCCUGAUGAUUGUGUGAUUCUUUUUUUUGGUGUUUUUCGUUUAUCAGAUGAUAAGAAAGUUUUAAAGUAACAAAGAUGGCUAUGUUUUUUCUCACCCAUACCAUCUUUCGAGCAUGGGAUACGCUAAAUAGAUAGAGUUCCUUACUCAAAACAUUAAAGUGAAUGUGAGCUUGAUCAUCUGCCGUUAAAGGAUAACCGCCCACUCGACUAUCGUAAAUUAAAGGGAUAGAGCCUCACUUAAAACAUAAAAAAAUGGAAUACUCUCUUAGGUAUAGUCCCUAAUCCAUGUCUGGAAUUACGCUAGUAAUAGACUGAAACGAAGUCCUAAUGAGGCAACGCUUAACUAACAACGCAUCUCUCACUUUAAUUCAGUGUUGAACCUCGGGAUUAACUGUAAAGUUAAAAAAUGAGCUUUGAAAAAAUGCUACUUGUAGUAAUACUUUAGUUCUUCCGUCAGCGAAUAAAAAAUUCAACAAAACUUAUUUCAAACAAAAUAGUUCAAGUUGUUGAAAAAAUCUCUCCUUGGUACGGUUUGUUAAAUGAAACAAUCAAUUUGAAAGUACUUGUUUUUCGUGAUGAAGAAACAUUACUGAUUGUUAUUGAAAUGAGUUAUCCGUACGUUACGUUUAAAUGUUUAAUAGGGACUCAACACAAAAGAAAAGUGUCGAAGUUCUAUUUUUUUUUUAAGGAUAUGCUUCAACUGGGGUCUUAAUAAACAAUUUUCACUUAUAAAGGUCAUGGAACUUAGCGAUAACUCAGGUUAAAAAUUCAAGAAAGCGAUUGAUUUCUUUUACAUGAAAAGAGUAAUGAUAAGAAUUUUCAUCUAAAGUAAAAAUGAAGAAAUAGUUUAAUUUAAACGCUUCAUGAGAAAUUUUAUGUGUUAACGUCAUUGAAUGUUUUAAAAAAAUUUUAUGGAUCAAACAAAAGUGUGAAUAUGUUUUACGCGAUUAAAUGAGGUAAUUGUUUUACAGAUGUUUCCCAUUAAUAUCUUAAUCUCAGUUAUUUCCGAUAGAUAUAUGUAAGCUUCCGUAUUUUUUUUUAUAUAGGUCAUAUAGCAAGUAUAAAUUAUGGUGAGAAUCCCGUUUAAAAAAAGGCUUUUCUGCAGAAAAAAACUUAAUCAAUGGAUUGGGGAUGCAAGUAAAGUCUUAUGUUAGGGUUUUUUUUAAAAAGCUGCUCUGUUGGAUGCCAGGCGUUUCGUUUAGGAAUUGUGGAUGAUUUGUGAAAGCAUGUUUAUCAGUUUGUGUUGUUUACUUUUUUUUUUUUUUAUUCAAAACUUUUCGCGGAAGUAGUUUCGUAUUAAAUGUGAAUGAAAAAAAGAUAUAUCAAACAUUUUUUUUGACGAAAUAGGUUGGGAAGUUGUAACAAUAUUUGGAUUUUAUUAUAUAUCGAUAUUUUGUUUUGUCAAUUUCAGUUUUUGAAUUUACAAUCAAUUUGACUGAUUGUUCACUUCAAUUUUGGUUCUCAUAUCCAUGUCGUCAAAAUUUUUAUUUUUUGAUAUUUGCACUCUAACAGAAAUCAAGCAGUAAUUUAUUCAAAAUGUCCUUAGGUUUUGUACUUGAGAGAAAAUAAGGAAAUAAGUAUAAGAAAAUUUAAUGUGUAAAUUAAAUAAAUUAGUUUUGUUUAAAUGAUUCCGUGAUGUUGUUUUUGUUAUUAGCAGAAAAAAAACUUUCCGUACGGUCUAUCUCUAAUUCUUAAUUGUAUAAGAAAUUCUGCAU